rnacentral:rRNA from 1 species
CCUACGGGAGGCAGCAGUGGGGAAUAUUGCACAAUGGGCGAAAGCCUGAUGCAGCGACGCCGCGUGAGGGAUGACGGCCUUCGGGUUGUAAACCUCUUUCAGCAGGGAAGAAGCGAAAGUGACGGUACCUGCAGAAGAAGCGCCGGCUAACUACGUGCCAGCAGCCGCGGUAAUACGUAGGGCGCAAGCGUUGUCCGGAAUUAUUGGGCGUAAAGAGCUCGUAGGCGGCUUGUCACGUCGGUUGUGAAAGCCCGGGGCUUAACCCCGGGUCUGCAGUCGAUACGGGCAGGCUAGAGUGUGGUAGGGGAGAUCGGAAUUCCUGGUGUAGCGGUGAAAUGCGCAGAUAUCAGGAGGAACACCGGUGGCGAAGGCGGAUCUCUGGGCCAUUACUGACGCUGAGGAGCGAAAGCGUGGGGAGCGAACAGGAUUAGAUACCCUGGUAGUCCACGCCGUAAACGGUGGGAACUAGGUGUUGGCGACAUUCCACGUCGUCGGUGCCGCAGCUAACGCAUUAAGUUCCCGCCUGGGAGUACGGCCGCAAGGCUAAACUUAAAUGAAUUGACGG